GACAGAGGGUGCAAACGUUGUUCGGAAUUACUGGCGUAAAGCGCGUGUAGGCGGCAGGGCAUGUCGGAUGUGAAAUCCCGUGGCUCAACCACGGAAGUGCACCCGAAACUGCCCAGCUUGAGUCUCGGAGAGGAAGGCGGAAUGCUUGGUGUAGAGGUGAAAUUCGUAGAUAUCAAGCGGAACACCGGUGGCGAAGGCGGGUCUCUGGGCAGUAACUGACGCUGAGGAGCGAAAGCGUGGGGAGCGAACAGG
rnacentral:rRNA from 1 species